rnacentral:rRNA from 1 species
CGUAGGGUGCAAGCGUUGUCCGGAAUUAUUGGGCGUAAAGAGCUCAUAGGCGGUUUGUCGCGUCGACUGUGAAAACCCGAGGCUUAACCUCGGGCCUGCAGUCGAUACGGGCAGACUAGAGUUCGGUAGGGGAGACUGGAAUUCCUGGUGUAGCGGUGAAAUGCGCAGAUAUCAGGAGGAACACCGGUGGCGAAGGCGGGUCUCUGGGCCGAUACUGACGCUGAGGAGCGAAAGCGUGGGGAGCGAACAGGAUUAGAUACCCUGGUAGUCCACGCCGUAAACGUUGGGCGCUAGGUGUGGGGGUUUUUCCACGAUCUCCGUGCCGCAGCUAACGCAUUAAGCGCCCCGCCUGGGGAGUACGGCCGCAAGGCUA